GUAGGUGGCAAGCGUUGUCCGGAAUUAUUGGGCGUAAAGCGCGCGCAGGCGGUUCUUUAAGUCUGAUGUGAAAGCCCACGGGCUCAACCGUGGAGGGUCAUUGGAAACUGGAGAACUUGAGUACAGAAGAGGAAAGCGGAAUUCCACGUGUAGCGGUGAAAUGCGUAGAGAUGUGGAGGAACACCAGUGGCGAAGGCGGCUUUCUGGUCUGUAACUGACGCUGAGGCGCGAAAGCGUGGGGAGCAAACAGGAUUAGAUACCCUGGUAGUCCCCGCCGUAAACGAUGAGUGCUAAGUGUUAGGGGGUUUCCGCCCCUUAGUGCUGCAGCUAACGCAUUAAGCACUCCGCCUGGGGAGUACGGCCGCAAAGGCUG
rnacentral:rRNA from 1 species